UGUUGUAAUAUGCCAGACUGCCUGUUUUUAAGAUCCCCAGACUGCAUAAGAUUUUGUCAUUUAUGGCCAUUAUAAAGCAAACAAAAUGUCAUUUUUUGCCAAAAACACCAGUAGAAGAGGCAUGUUUCAUCCCUGUGUUGUUUUCAUGGCACUCGUUUGUCAGCAGAUGUUUGCAGUUAUGCCGUUUAAGAGCUGUUUUGGGCUCCACGUGUUGAUCCAGACCCAGUUAAAAUGUGCAGCAGACUGGAUGACCGACAGUAACCCCGGCGCUCAGAGCGGAUGCGCUAUAAAAGCUCUUCAGAACCUUCAGAUGCUCCUUCACACGAGAGUCUAGAAGGACGAAUAUACAUCUGAUUCAUUGGGAUUACAGCGAAUGUCCAUCAAAGGUCAUCAGCUGUCAGUUGAGAGCUGAGAGUGAAAAGGGACCAGAGUGAAGAUGUCUGUCUCCACUCAGCUGGGUCUGCUGCUGUGGAAGAACUUCACCUACAGAAGGAGACAAACGCUCCAACUGCUGACGGAGAUUGUGUGGCCUCUCUUUAUUUUCUUCAUUCUGAUCGCUGUGAGGUUGAACUACCCGCCUUAUGAGCAACAU